GGAACGGCGGCCGGCGGCGCCUGCGCGGAGGGCCCCGGGGCGGAGCUCAGCCCGCGGACUCGAGCUCUCGCUUGGCGCCGGGACCGGGGGGACGGUCCGGCAGGUCAGAGGUCGCGAGUUUCCCCCGAGACUCCUCCCGGAAGUGCUCUUGGCCCUAGAGCCCCGACCCUGCCUCGCCUGACUCAGAACAUUUGUUCGUGAUGCCUGCUUGCGUUGCCGGGGUUAGCCCCCGGCUUUGGCCGGGAGUCACCCACAACACACACCGCGAACCGCCGCCGUGUCUGCGCCCGAGAGCCUAGUGCAGCCUGGGAGCUCGGGAGAGCCUCGCCCAUUGAAUCGCUUGGGCUAUGGGCGCGUGGAGCGAGCCCGGUCUGUGCGUAGCGCUCGCGCCUCUUCGCGGCGAGCAGGGGAAUCGCACCCGGGGCGGCUCAUUUCCGCCAGGGCACCUAGUGUCAUCGCUGCGGCCUUAUGUAGAAGUGGGGGGAUGAAGGGUUUCUAUUCAGCACCUACAGUAUGCUGGAUGCCAGGGACCCGUGAUACUGGUGGGGACUUCACUGGUGACAGAGACAAGAUACAGCUGGCAAGAUACAGAUUCUCAUAGAGCUUACAGACACUGUAAACAAUAUUUAGACAAAUAAGUUGAACUGCAUUUGGGACUCGUGCUUCCUUCCUUAGGAAGGAAUUGUAUGGAGACAAUAACUAAAAGACUAAGUCAGUUGGACCUCAGUGAAGUCAAAGAGAAAAAAAGAAUGUAAUGCUGUUUGGCUCCAGGAGAUACAUCAUAUCCAUUGUUUCUUUAAAUCUCCACUUUUGGAGCAAGGAUCAGCACCUCCGUAUCUUAUCAAGGAGCAUUCUGAGGCUCCCUAGGAGACUUGUCCAUGGUGAUGGAACCCAGAAGUGGUGAGGUAGUGGCUCUAUGACGUCUUGCAGCUUAGAAUAAUCUCUUGUAUCAGCUGUAUGUCUGGAAAACAGUCGUCAGUAGGAUCCAACUCAGUAGCUUUUAAAUAAGACUACCAGGCGCUUCCCUGGUUGUGAGUUGCUGGGACUCCGUGUUCCCCCUGCUCCCAGCCCUGGCUUUUCUCUUCCCAAGGACGGGGGACAGUGCCAUUCAGGGACUUUCCCAGGACCCCUUCCUUCCCUUCAACCCCUGGUCUAGGAUCUAGGUCCCACAUACUGUAACUAAGGGUUUGCAUGCUGCAACUGAAAAAAGAUCCCGCAUGCUGCAACUGGUAACUCUGCGUGCCGCAACUAAGACCUGGUACAGCCAAAUAAAUAUUUUUUAAAAUAAGUAAAAAGUAAAUAUGACAACCAUGCCCAGGGUGGUGACUUCGAGGUAGGGAGAAUAGUUGGAUUGAAAGUAAAAAUGCCUCAAAAUCCACCUUUAAAGUAGGGUUUUUCCAUUAUGUGUGUAUUAUAUCAGCAAAUCAAGUCCCUGUUUAUUGUUCGCUGCCCUUUCUAGAACUUCUGGAAGCAGGAGCUUUUGUCUCUUUAGUUCCCUCCUGAUUCUCAGUGCCUAGGGCAGGGCUUGCCAAAUAGUAUGUACUCAGAAAAUACUGUGCUUAAUUGGAUUAAACGCAUGAAUAAUCAACAGUUUUAAUAAGAGUACUGACUGCUACCUCUCCCUGCUAACCGUAUGGGAACUUCUUGU
ensembl:lncRNA